CUUCGCUGACGGGGCGUGGCCUGCGCGUCGUUGACGGCAGCGGGGAGGGGGCGUGGUUUGUGCGCCAUUGCCGGCAAUAGGAGGGGGCGUGGCUAAAAGGGCUCAGUGGGGUAAUGACGUCAUUUGAUGACGUCACCUUUAUUUUUUUCCUCACAUUUUGACGUCACCAACGCAGGAAAAAAGGAAUUCCCGGAUUCCGGGGGUUUUCCCCCCCCCCAAAAAAAAAUCCCCGGGAUGGAAUCGGGGGGAUCCAAAACUCUGCCGGACCCGGUGAGCGACCGCCAAAAAAAUUCCCAAUAAAAUAAAAUAAAAUAAAAUAAAACAAAAUAAAAUAAAAUAAAAUCAAAUCCCGGAAUUUUAAACUUUUCCCGCCCUUUUUUUUCCCUCCAAAAUCAAUUUCCCGCCAGGCCGACGCGAUGACGUCAGACGACUUCGACAUCGUCAUCGAGGCCAUGCUGGAGGCGCCCUACAAGAAGGAGGAGGCCCAGCCCGGCCCUUCCAAGGCCCCAGCGGAGCCGGCCCCGGCCCAGCAGGCGCCGCCGGAGGAGCCGAAGGAGCCCAAGAAGGAGAGCGGGAGCAGGUGAGGAAAUCCCGGAAUUCCGGGAAUUCUGGGAAUUCUGGGCCGGAAUUCCGGGAUUUUGAGGGAAAAUUCUGGGAUUUUUUUGGAAUUUGGGUCGGAAUUCCAAGAUUUUGGGUGAAAAUUCCUGGAUUUUGGGUGAAAAUUCCCAGAUCUUGGGUCAGAAUUCCUGAAUUUUGGGGGAUUUUGGGUGAAAAUUCCCAGAUUUUGGGUCAGAAUUCUGGGAUUUUGGGGCAUUUUGGGUGAAAGUUCCCGGAUUUUGGGGGAAAAUUCUGGGAUUUUUUGGGAAUUUGGGCCGAAAUUCCAAGAUUUUGGCUCAGAAUUCCGGGAUUUUUGGUUAAAAUUCCCGGAUUUUGGGUGAAAAUUCCUGGAUUUUGGGUCAGAAUUCCAGGAUUUUUGGGAAUUUGGGUCAGAAUUCCGAGAUUUUGGGGCAUUUUGGGUGAAAAUUCCCGGAUUUUGGCUCAGAAUUCCAGGAUUUUUUGGGAAUUUGGGUCAGAAUUUUGGGAUUCUGAUUCACAAUUCCCGGAUUUCGGGUGGGAAUUCCCAGAUUUUGGGAAUCUGGGGUGGGAAUUUGGGGAUUUCGAGGGAAUUUUCCCGGAAUUUUCCGGAAUUUUCCGGAAUUUUCCGGGGUUUCAGCAGCCGGAAGAAGCGGAGCCGGAGCCGGAGCCGCGAGCACAGACACAGCCGGAGCCGGGACCGGGAGCGGGAUCGGCGCCG
rnacentral:lncRNA from 1 species